UACGUAGGGUGCGAGCAUUGUCCGGAAUUAUUGGGCGUAAAGAGCUUGUAGGCGGUCUGUCGCGUCUGCUGUGAAAAUCCGGGGCUCAACCCCGGACUUGCAGUGGGUACGGGCAGACUAGAGUGUGGUAGGGGAGACUGGAAUUCCUGGUGAUAGCGGUGAAAUGCGCAGAUAUCAGGAGGAACGCUGGGUGGCGAAGGCGGGUCUCUGGGCGAAUAAACU
rnacentral:rRNA from 1 species